GCAUUGAUGGUCUAGUGGCUAUGACUGCGGCCUUCCAAGCCGCAAACCCGGGUUCGAAUCCCGGUCGAUGCA
rnacentral:tRNA from 3 species